CCUGGCGGCGAUAGCGCGGUGGUCCCACCUGACCCCAUGCCGAACUCAGAAGUGAAACGCCGUAGCGCCGAUGGUAGUGUGGGGUCUCCCCAUG
rnacentral:rRNA from 1 species